rnacentral:rRNA from 1 species
UUUUUGAUUAAUAAUUUAAAGUCUAAUCUGCCCACUGAUAAUAUAUUAAAGGGCUGCAGUAUUUUGACUGUACAAAGGUAGCAUAAUCAUUAGUCUCUUAAUUGGUGACUUGUAUGAAAGAUUUAAUGAAAUAUAUACUGUCUCUUUUUAAUUUAUAAAAUUUAAUUUUUUAGUUAAAAAGCUAAAAUAUAUUUAAAAGACGAGAAGACCCUAUAGAGUUUAAUAUUUAAUUAAAUUAAAAUUUUUUAUAAGAUUUAAAAUUUUAAUUUUAGUAAAUAUUUUGUUGGGGUGACAAAAAAAUUAAAAAAACUUUUUUUAUAAAUUUACAUAAAUAAAUGGUUAAGUGAUCCGUAAUUUACGAUUAAAAGAAAAAAUUACCUUAGGGAUAACAGCGUAAUUUUUUUUUUUAGUUCAAAUAAGAAAAAAAGUUUGCGACCUCGAUGUUGGAUUAAGAUAAAAUUUAAAUGCAAAAGUUUAAAAUUUUUGAUCUGUUCGAUCAUUAAAAUCUUACA